CGACAAGGAGGUCUGCCGAUGCUACGAAGGUAGAGUCUGGAAGCUGCCGAUUGGCUGGUGGGGAUGUUUUGGUUUGUCCCGUGAGGACAGUUUUACCUUUUCCUUAGUUAUUUAGAUCGUUUUGUACACGGAUUCUGUUUAACUUUGGAAUUCGAAUUCUAGUCGUGUCUGGUUGUAGCUCUUUGAGCAGGGUAUAAAUGUAG
rnacentral:lncRNA from 1 species